rnacentral:tRNA from 2 species
GGGCGAGUAGCUCAGUCGGUAGAGCAACUGGCUUUUAACCAGUAGGUCCCCGGUUCGAGCCCGGGCUCGCUCACCA